rnacentral:rRNA from 1 species
GACGAACGCUGGCGGCGUGCUUAACACAUGCAAGUCGAACGGAAAGGCCCUGCUUUUGUGGGGUGCUCGAGUGGCGAACGGGUGAGUAACACGUGAGUAACCUGCCCUUGACUUUGGGAUAACUUCAGGAAACUGGGGCUAAUACCGGAUAGGAGCUCCUGCUGCAUGGUGGGGGUCGGAAAGUUUCGGCGGUUGGGGAUGGACGCGCGGCUUAUCAGCUUGUUGGUGGGGUAGUGGCUUACCAAGGCUUUGACGGGUAGCGGGCCUGAGAGGGUGACCGGCCACAUUGGGACUGAGAUACGGCCCAGACUACUACGGGAGGAAGCAGUGGGGAAUAUUGCACAAUGGGCGGAAGCCUGAUGCCGAAACGCCGCGUGCUGGAUGACGGCCUUCGGGUUGUAAACCGCUUUCGCAUGUGACGAAGCGUGAGUGACGGUAAUGGGUAAAGAAGCACCGGCUAACUACGUG